GCUCUUUGAGCCUGGAGGGUCUGGCUCUCCCAAGAAGACUCCGGCACCCUUCUGUUUCAUUGGCUCCCCAGGCAUGGGGAAUGCCUGCUGAAGAAACUUCCCAGUCCCCAGCUUUGUUUGGACAGGCUGAUUGCAGAAUGUGGUGAGAGGCAUUUCUGGCAUCCGAAGUCUAGUGGGAAGGUCUGCAGAGCCUCUGCCAGCCCCCAGUUGGCCGACUAUGGAAGGGCUUGCUGGAGAUGCCUAGUGGGCUGCUUCCUUUCUUCUGGCUUGGAAGACAUUCAUUGAUGACCAGAACCCUUUACUUGCCCUUUUGCCAUGCUCUGUGGUAGGGUCUGAGAGGUGGGAAAGGAGACCAGCACCUGGGCUGCCUAGGAUCCUGCCUGCAGGAAACAGGAUGGAUAACAAAGCCAUGUACAUGCACACUUUUGGGGAGAGGGAGAACGGAUCCAUCUUUGAAGAGCCGUGUGAUGGAAAGAACCUUUCAAAGCUGAACCUCUGGGAGGAUGGUCCAGGCAGCAAGAAGAAACCAUCAGGGCCCUGCGGCCAUCUUGGAUCCUUGGCUGCCCUCAAAUAUGCAGUGGUCGGGCUCUACUUGCUGGUGUUCCUGAUUCUUGUGGGUGUCUUUAUCU